UACAUACCUUUCUCAUCCCUGUGCGUGCUGUAACUCUGUCUGAUGCAGCCCCCGCUAGCUUAGCUUAGCACAAAGACUGGAAGUGAAUGGCUCCAGCUAGCAUACUGCUUCCAAUAAGUGACAAAGUAACGUGGACAUUUUCCAAUUUAUGUGUUGUGAUUUGUAUAAAUUCACUACCAGUCUUUUGUUCUAAGCUUAGCUAGCAGGGGCUGCGUCAGACAGAGUUACAGCACACACGGAGAUGAGAAUGGUAUGUAUGGACUUAUCUAACUCUGUUUGUUUAUUUGUAAAUGUAAAAAAUGCAGCUAACCAUUCCCAGCUCCAGUGGGCAGGUUAAAGAGUAUUUCUUAAUAUGAGACAGAAAACAGAAACACAUUUUUAAUGGCAUUUAAAGACAACAUACCACUUCAUACAACUACAUUUUCUGUUUAAUCCAUAGAUUGAGUAAUUUUCACUCUAGAGACCCUGGGGUGACCACCAAGGACGAAUGCAAACUCCAGUGAGUGUCUCUAAGGUAGAUCCUAAUGCAGAUGGAUGGAAUGUUGAUCCGCCUAACAUGCAAGCUACAGAGGGCAUCCUUUAUUCAGUCCCUAAUGCAGAUGGUUGGAGUGUUGAUCUACCUAACAUGAGGGAGCACUCGUUUUGAGUCCUGAGACCCUGGGGUGACCACCGUGAACAAAUACAGAAGCACUCAAUUUGAGUCCUGAGACCCUGGGGUGACCACCGUGAACAAAUACAGACUGCAAUAGCAGUCUUGACGGUACUAGGAUGAAUGCAAAUAAAGACUAACCACCUGACUUCAGCGGUCCAGUCUCUUGUGGGAAGCAGUUGCUUGUUACCCCAAAUACGGAUGAAGAGUGACGAAGAGGAUGAUGACUUUUUGCUCAAACAUCUGCUGAAUUUCUUGACAGGCUGGAGACAAAAUUAACAGACUGAGGGUUUAUACAAAGAAUCUUACUCAGCCAAUAUUAAAGAUAAGAUAUUUUUACAAAAUGUUCUUUUCAUUGUUUAGGAUGAUUUUAUGUAGAAAACAGUA